UACAGAGGUCCCGAGCGUUGUUCGGAUUCAUUGGGCGUAAAGGGUGCGUAGGCGGCGGGGAAAAUCUGAUGUGAAAUCCUGGGGCUCAACCCUGGAACUGCAUUGGAUACUUCCUUGCUAGAGUACUGGAGAGGAAACUGGAAUUUACGGUGUAGCAGUGAAAUGCGUAGAGAUCGUAAGGAAGACCAGUGGCGAAGGCGAGUUUCUGGACAGUUACUGACGCUGAGACACGAAGGCCAGGGGAGCAAACGGG
rnacentral:rRNA from 1 species